UACGUAGGGGGCAAGCGUUGUCCGGAUUCAUUGGGCGUAAAGAGCUCGUAGGCGGUUUGUCGCGUCUGCUGUGAAAACGCGAGGCUCAACCUCGCGCCUGCAGUGGGUACGGGCAGACUAGAGUGCGGUAGGGGAGAUUGGAAUUCCUGGUGUAGCGGUGGAAUGCGCAGAUAUCAGGAGGAACACCGAUGGCGAAGGCAGAUCUCUGGGCCGUAACUGACGCUGAGGAGCGAAAGCAUGGGGAGCGAACAGG
rnacentral:rRNA from 1 species